rnacentral:misc_RNA from 1 species
GAUGAAGAACGUAGCGAAAUGCAAUACGUAAUGUGAAUUGCAGAAUUCAGUGAAUCAUCGAAUCUUUGAACGCAUAUUGCGCUCUCUGGUAUUCCGGAGAGCAUGCUUGUUUGAGUAUCAGUAAACACCUCAACUCCCCUUUCUUUUUUUGAAAUGGGAGCUGGACUUGAGUGAUCCCAACGCUUUUCUCACCGAAAAGUGGCGGGUUACUUGAAAUGCAGGUGCAGCUGGACUUUUCUCUGAGCUAAAAGCAUAUCUAUUUAGUCUGCCUAAAAAACAGAUUAUUACCUUUGCUGCAGCUAACAUAAAGGAGAUUAGUUCUUGUGCUGACUGAUGCAGGAUUCACAGAGACAGCUUCGGCUGGCCUUUGUAAACUCGAUCUCAAAUCAAGUAAGACUACCCGCUGAACUUAAGCAUAUCAAUAAGCGGAGGA